rnacentral:lncRNA from 1 species
CCUCUUCCUCCGACCACCGCAAGCCCAGCUUCUCCCCUUGAAAACACGCUUAGAGAGCUUCCGUUGAACUUACCGGUAUUGAAUCCAAAAUCUAUGUACUGCGUGCUCGAUGCAUUUGAUCCGGCUAGGAGGGAAAUACCCUGAACAUUUCCAAUCAGCUCUGAGUCAGGCUCAGGACCAGUCCUGAGGGGAUCAUUAACGGCAACUAGGGUGGCAAAUGGCACUGAUGUAUUAUUGCUUGUGAUGUUAGCUUGGGUUAGCACGACUGCUGUAGUGCCCGUAAAUUCGUGCAUAUAGAAGUGAAGAUUGGUGACCACAACUGGCCUGGGUUGAUAUGGUAGGGUGUCCGAGUAGUAUUGGCUCCGCACUGCUACUUGGGAGAGGCAGAUGAUCAGAAUCCAACUCAACACCGAUGCUCCCCUCAUUGUCUCUGCUUUACUAUAAUUUCUGGGGUGAAGGAAAAAUGUUGAUGAAAGGUAGUGGAAUUUUUGCUUCAUGUUUAUGAACAAAACGGAGACAUUUAUACUGAGAAAUCCUGCGGACUUUGGAAAUAAUGUAUUGCCCAAAACAUUUGAUAUAAUAACUGGUUGAUUUUUCCCUAGUAAUAUUAAAAAGAAAACAAAUCUUGACCACGCAACGGUAGCUUGGUCUAAUUAGCAGCUUGAUUUUUGAAUAGGAAUAUACCUUUUUUAUAUACGUAUAAAUACGAAUUUCUUCCCUUAAUAAUUAGAAUGGUGAAGGUUGUAAACACCAUUUUAUCUAUAAGUAUAAUGUUUGGAAGUUUCCUGCCCUGCGUUUUUGUUUUUGUCUGAAUUUGACUUUAAUUUAUCUGAUAUCAGAUAUUAGAUGUGAUUGAUGUGUUGGUUUUAUAAAUUAUUCUAUCUUCCGCUAAGAAAAGUCUGCUUGAUAUGAAAGUCUUCUUUCUCUUUUUCUUUAAAUCUACGUACUAAAUUAUUAUAUUCCUACAAUGUUCUGUGUAUAAGAACUAAACGACAAGAAUAAAAGAAUAUAAUCGAUCAAUAUUAUAUUCCAUUAAUUCUAGAAUUCCCCAACCUUCAAAUAACUUCAUUUUCAUAGUGUCCUUGGUCAUAUGGAGCAGCAGCUACUCCUAAUCCUUUGCUCCUUCUGUACAAACCCAAAUAUGCCCGGGCCCAGACCAACAAACAAGCCCAAACAUUUAACCCCAAGCCCAAUAACUAAAUAGCCCAAUACUUAAAUAAAUGCAGAAAACCCUAGUAGCAGCAAGUAGCCGCCGCCCUCAAACGCCCCAGCAAUCUCCAGUCGCCGCAAGUUUCGGCCUCCACGCGUGCCGUUUCUCCGCAAACACCGCUCCUCAAGCACGUACCUGCAACAAGCGAAAGAGAAGAGAAAAAAAUCGGGCCAACAAACAACCGAAUAGAUUUAUUUGGAUUUAUUUUUUCUUUCCCAUUUUCGGCUAUAAAAGGCCAAUAUUUUCAGUGUAAAAAGGGGGAUGCAGUGUAAAAGAUACGAAAAUAGAGAGAAAAGAUUGAAAUACAAAGAAAAUUGAAGGUUAAUCGCGUUUAUUCUAUUUUCAUUUUUACUUUUUUUUUCUCUUUUCUUUUUUAUUUGUUUUGUGAAAUAAUAGAACAAAAGGGGAAAAGGGAGACUUACCUUUCGCCGGAGUCUUCGAGCUGGUGUCCCCUCCGUCGGAAUCGAGGCGUGGGCUGAACGGCGGCCAAAGGGUUAAGGAAACCCAGAAAGAAGCAGUUUUUGCUUCAAAGGGAAAGGCAAAAUAUUACCCUGAAUUUGUUUUUUUUCUAAAACUUAAAACGGAACAAAGAUGGUGUUGUUUAGUUUGGGGGUCUGCGCAUAUCGACCUUAAGUGGGAGAAUUGCGCAAUAAGUCCUCCCCCUUUGCGCCAUGUUUUAUUGAGCCAGUUAUUUCUUUUUAAUUUGGCCCAAAUAUUUUUACCUUGUUUCAAGUCGGUCCCCAUUGCUGCGCACCGUUUGGGGAGAGGGAUUAUUUUCAUUUUAGGUCCCCCAUGUAGUGCGCGCGUCGCAAAUUGGUCCCCUUUCUUUUUUUUUAAUUUCAUUUUUUGGUUAUUUUGUUUUUUUUUGCAUUUUUUUAAAAAUUAUUACUAUAUUAUUUAUUAUUAUUUAUUAUUAUUCCUAUAUUUAUACACGCAUUUUCUUUAUAUAGUAUAUAUAUACAUAUUUCUUUAUAUAAUAUAUAUAUUCUUAAACCUUUUUAAAUACAUGCAUUCUACAUUAUAUAUUUAAUUAUUUUUUUGUAACUUUUAUGUACCUUAUAUUAUAUAUAUGCAUACUUAUACAUUUUCUUUUAUUCUGUGAAUAUAUACAUCUCCGCAUACUCUUAUAUUUUUUUAUAUUAUUUUAUUUUUAUAGUUUUUGCAUUCAUAUAUGUACAUAUAUAUAUACAUAUUUUAAUGCGUGCAUAAUUUAUAUAUAUAUAUUUUUUCCUUUUUUUUUUGUUUUCAUAGUUUUUAUAAAUAAAUAUAUAUGUAUGUACACUUAUAUUUUACAAUACAUAUGUAUUUUCCUUAUUUUUGUACAUAUACGUAUUUUCUUUGAAAUCUACAUACAUAUUUUUGGAGAUUACUAUAAGUUCUGUUGUACAUGUUUUUUUACAUACGUAUACUUGUAUAUGUGUGUUAAAUAUAUGCAUACACAUAUUUUCAAAUUUACUUGUGUAUUGUGCUUGUGUUUACAUAUUUUGUAAAUACAUGUACAUAUAUAUUUUAAAUUAAAAUAUUUGUUUCAUAUUGUACAUUAAUUUUUAACGUACCCUUUGGAAAAUAAAUCUUGGUUUUUUCGAUAUAUCAAAAUCAUUUUUUCUUGAUUCAAGGGUUUUUUUUUGAAUAAAAGCAAUAUUCGAAGUUUGGGAUUUUCGAGGGAAAUUGAGCCCUAACGUAUUGGGUUCUAAUUUUCUUUGUUAAUCUUAAAUAACCGAGGAUAUUCUUCAUUCAAAAUGCAUGAGUAUAAAAAUCAUUUUUAGGAACUUAACUUGUUGUGCCCUAACGCAUUGGGUGUGGCAUGUUACUUUCUCAAAAUGAAGAUUUUCACAUAAAAUAAAAGUGAUAUUCAAAGUUCAGGGAUUAUGAGGAAUUGUACCCUAACGUAUUGGGACUCGAUUUCUUUACAUGACUUGAACAAUUGAUUAUCCUUUUUCAAAUUUCAUCAUUUGAGCCGAUUUUAGAAAUCUUUUUAACCUUCGACACUAAGAUAUUAAAUGAUCAAUUUGGUACCGAUUUUGGGCGUUACGAGGGUGCUAACCCUUCCUCGUGCGUAACUGACUCCCGGACUCAUUUUCUCAAAAUUCGUAGACCAAAAUAGGGUGAGCCGAUCACACCUUAAUAAAGGAUCGGUGGCGACUCCAGUUUUAUUUUUAAAGUCGACAACUAAAAUUUUUGUUUUCAAAAAACGGUUUCGACAGCUUGGCGACUCCACUGGGGACAUUUGAGAGUCCAGUCAUGAAUUGAUUAUGCUUUGUCUUUUUGUCGAAAGUCAAUUUUUUUUUAAAUCAUGAUUUCCUUUUGCAUUUAUUGAUUUUCAUCAUUUGCAUGAUUGAAUCAAGUUGGUUGGUCUGUAUUUGCAUUUUGCAUUGCAUGGUCAGUGUUACCCUUUAAGUAGGAGCGAGAAACUAGUCCUUCGUGAGGUUUUCACCUCCGUGCAGGGUAGUGGACCGCUUCCGAGAUACAUCCGUACCUAUGUCUUCGUGAGAUUUUCAUCUCCGUACAGCCAUAGGGAAAUGUAUCCCCCUGAACUGAACUCGAUCCACAUGAGCCUAUAAUGGGUGAGGAUCGAGGAAUCUACUGGUUCGGGUACCCUUACUUUAGAAAAUAACCCUCAUAUAGUAAACAUUAGGAACUUACCCUAGGUAGAGCUAUACCAAACCCUAGAGGGGUCCUGAAUAGGUGCUUUUAUAAUUUCCUGUGUAUAUUGAAUUAUGAUUUUAUACAUAAUACUGACUUUUUUAUGUUUCACUUUGACUGCAUAGCAUUUAGACUGCAUGGCAUUUCAUUAUAGAAAAGAGGUGUUGAUUCACGUUUGGUUGUUAAUAGAGAGCUCACCAUGGAAAACAGGUUUCUUGAUAAGGUGGAAGAUAAUACGAUUGUCUGAGUACAGUCUAAGAAAACGUGACGCGAAAGGUCUAACAAUUGGAGUAUACGAAUUUGCUACGUGACCUGAGAAUUCAAAUUGUCAAAGAUUAUUCAAAGUCAUCAAAUGUCCCAACCUCUUAAAGAAGCUAAUGAACGUGAAUGAGCAAGGAGUUACGACCUAGAUCAAACAAAAAAGAGUUCGAAUUCGCGAGGUGCAUCUUAAUAUCCGAAUGGUCGAUGCCUUCGCUUGGAGUACGAAGGUGAAGCCGUAUAUAUAUAUCCGCUUUAUGUAAAGAGAUUUAUUUUUUAGUAAAACUUUCUAGUAAAGAAUUGAACAUAAAUCAACGUCUCUUUUUUGCAUUCAUUUCAUGCAUUUGCAUUUCAUUACAUUAUAUGCAUUAGACACCUUUAAAUGAUCCUAAUUAAUUAAAAUCCCUGCUCAGUUAACCUGGAAACCAACCAACCAACCAAGCACCGUUACGGCACUCGAGCAAAGAUUAAAGACAUGGAUCAGAGAUUGGAAAAGCUUGAACAAUACCAGAAGGAGAUGCAAGACUUACUUCAGCUACAAGUGCAGGAGCGGUUAGACAAGAUGCAACAGGAUAUGUCUGAGAAAAUGCAGGAAUCCCAAAAGGAUAUGAUGGCAAAGCUAACCAAACUAUUGACCGGAGGAGGUGAUAAGGGAAAGGGUCUCAUGGCUGAUGUCAAAGGGGGUAAUGAACCACUCUAUCUUCUAGGCUUUACUCCUCCACAUGUUCGAACUCAAUAUCCACAUAAACCCACUGUCACAAUCAAGCCUCAGCAGUCCCAGGCCAGUGCUUCGAACUUUUAAGUUAGAUUGGGCUCUAACCCCGAAAACUACCCUGUUAACUCUGUCAUUCCUGACUUUGAUGAAGUGGCUGAAAAGGAAAGAAUAAAAGAGGAGUUACCAAGGCAGUUAGAGGAAAGGUACAAAUGGCUAGAGGAGAAAUUCAAGGCGAUGGAAGUCACUGAAAGCUAUCGCGGGAUUGACGCCAAAGAGCUAAGCUUAGUUCCAGAUUUGGUACUCCCUCACAAGUUUAAGAUGCCAGAAUUUGAUAAGUACAAUGGGACAACUUGCCCAGAAGCUCAUAUCACCAUGUUCUGCAGGCGAAUGGCUGGAUACGUUAACAAUGACCAGCUAUUGAUACAUUGUUUCCAGGAUAGCCUUUCAGGGGCAGCAUCUAAAUGGUACAAUCAGCUAAACCGUACCACAAUUGGUUCAUAGAGGGACUUGGCACAAGCGUUCAUGAAACAGUAUAGUCAUGUGACAGACAUAGUUCCUGACAGAAUCACCCUUCAAAAUAUGGAGAAGAAGCCGAACGAAAGUUUCAGGCAGUAUGCACAAAGGUGGAGGGAGGUCGCAGUCCAAGUUCAACCACCGCUCUUAGAGAGAGAAACAACAAUGCUCUUUGUCAAUACGCUGAAAUCUCCAUUCAUUACGCAUAUGUUAGGAAGUGCUACAAAAAGCUUUUCUGACAUAGUCAUGAAUGGUGAAAUGAUCGAAAAUGCUAUAAGAAGCGGGAAAAUUGAUACAGAGGAGAGUAACAAGAGGUCAGUCUCAAAUAGAAGAGAAAAUGAGGUGAACAACACAGGUUACUCUAAAUUAGUUACCGUGAGUCAGCCAAGAAAGGUGGUUGGUAAUCAACAGAAUUCAUCGAGGCAAGAUUCCGGCAUGAAGACUGAGAAGUUUCAGUUUACGCCAAUCCCAGUACCGUAUAAAGAACUGUAUCAAAAUUUGUUUGAUGCACAUGUUAUUUCCCCUUUUCAUGUGAAGCCUCUACAACCUCCGUAUCCCGAAUGGUAUAAUGCCAACACACAAUGUGAAUACCAUGCUGGGGUUACGGGACACUCGAUUGAGAAUUGCACUGCCUUCAAGAAGCAAGUUGAAAGACUCAUCGACAUGGGUAUUGUCAAGUUUGAUGACCCAUCUAGUGCAGGAAAUCCGCUACCUAAUCAUGAUGGAUGAUGAAGGGAAUGCAAUGUAUGAAGAAGUGGUGAGGUUUUCAUAUCGAUGCCAUAUAUGCAGACACAAUUAAAGGGUCCUUAUUAGAUAUUCGCCUUAGAGGUGUUCUAAAUAAUGAGACUGUAGAGGAAACCCCUGAUGUAUUUAGAGUCUGUUAGAGUAAUGUUCAGAACACACUUGUUGCUUUCAGCCUAGAAGCAAUAAGAAUUUCUUUGUGAGAUAGGCUCACGUCUAAACAUUAUUAUUUUAAUGAAAUACAUUAUUACAAUCAUCUUUGAGCAAAUGUUCUUUCAUUCUUUACAAUUUUUUUUCAUUCCUUCAGAUUCUUUUCUGCCAAACCAUUCAUUUAUUCAUUCAUUUAUUUGUAUAUCCUUUAGCACCCACUAUGGGUCCCCAAAUAUCAAUGACAUGAGUGACGCUGCUACAGACUCAAAAUCGCCUUCUGAGUGAGACAUGUGUUUAGAGGGAUCUCAUGACUUUGAAGAUGUCAUAAAUUGUAGUCUAUUUCUAGACUUAUUAAGGAUGGUAGAGCAGGAAGGAAAUUUUACCUCAUGAGGAGACAAUAGAAACUGUGACCUUGAGGAACAUGCAUGAUCGAAGAAACAAAGCAAGAUGUUGUUGAGCUACUUCAAGAAUUCAAAAAUGUCUUCGUAUGGUUAUACCAGGGUAUGCCCAGGUUAAACACUGUCAUUACAAUCUGAACAAUAGCAUGAUAUUAGAAACUUGCAGUAUGUUCAAGGUGAAUAUCAUGAAUGGUGCAGUGAAAACUCUACCGGGGCAAUGCCACUCUUUUCAGUUUAUCAAGAUUUUUUUCCAUUGAAGUUGAAAUUCUUUCUCUUCGGGUUUUGGCUGGAUGAGGCAGAAUAGAUCCAAUCGCAAUGUGAUCAAUUGAACUUGAUAGAAGGAAGAAGAUUAAAAGUUAUUCAUCAUGGUCAGAUGUACCAGAAAUGAAUUAUGCGAGCCUAUAACAAAAGGUUCAUCCUAGAGAAUUCCACGAGGGUGACCAAAUGUUGUAGAUCUUCCCUCUACAAAAAAUAUUUUGGAAGGAAACGGAUACCAAAUUGGGAGGAACCUUAUGAUUAUAGAGAAGGUUUUUUUCAAAGGAGCUUUGAUUUUGAGCGAGAUGAAUGAUAAAACCUGCAAAGUCCUGUAAACUCAGAUUCAGUCAGGAAAUACUCUACUUAGAGAAGGAGAGGACCAAGGUAAAAACCCGCAAAGGGCAGCUUGAGUCCCAAAAAAAAAGAAAAAGAAGUGAUGUGAAAAAAUGAAAAGAUGAAAAUAAAAAAUGAAAAAGUAAAAUGGAGAGGCUAAGGUGAAAACCCGUAAAGGGCGCCUUAGACCAAAGGGGAUUUGAGUUGAAAACCCAAAAAGGGCGGCUUAAAUGUUGGUCAAAAUGGCGUUUGAAUUUUUCAGAGCAGCUCAAAUACUGAUCAGAAUGGGGGCAUGCAGUGGUCUUGCUAUACCUGAAUCAACAGGAAAGGGUAGGCGACAUCUUGGGGCAUCGACAAAGUACUCCUAAACACAUGUUAAACUCAGAAUGGUCUUUAAAAAUUUGUACAGAGAAGUUCAAGCUGCGAUAUCUGGGGCACCUAAUCCUUAUAUUAUUUUUUGUUAUUCUUGGAACACUUCAUUCAUUUCCAAGAUAUGCAUUCAUAAAUCAAUUUCUUUGUUAUCCAUCUUUAUUAUCUUUGACAACUUAUUCAUUUCAAGCUAUGCUCAGAACCAACUCAAUUCUUAUCCAUGAUCUUUUUUACAAGCAUGUUGCAUUAGAAUAAUGAUUAAUGGACUAAUAAAACUUUCACAAGGGAAGUUUUGCAUAUUACUCUAGAAGUUUCUGAAUAAUAUAGGAACCUCAAACAAGACUAUUGUUUAGAACGCAUCAGGUUGGAAAUCUGAUAAAGAAGAGUCAAAAUUAAGACUAUCUCUUUGGAUUUUCUUGUCUAAAGUAUUACUUGAACAAAAUGGUAAGAUGUCGUGUUGGUGACAAAGCUUCAAUGAAUAAGCAAGUAAUGAUCACCGAAUAAUAAGAAGAAGUUGUUCUUGGAGAAGAUUUCUUCAUUUGUGCAUGAGCAUUUGGUACAACACCCUGGGAAUUGUGUAAGAGACCAAAAAGUUUCACAUCCUGUAUCCUUGAAUUGUGAUAACAGAGGAUUGAGAAAAGGCCAAAUUUUUUACUCUUGGGUUACAACGGGAAAAGAUGGUACAAAUUUUGCAUCCCAGUAGAUCAAACUUGGAGGUUUACAGCGUGGGGCAAUCUGGUCAAGUGCUUAUUGGGUUCACCAGCCGAGCAUAAAGGCGCUAUAGUACAUUAAGCGAUAAGACCUUAAUAAACUUGGAGUAAUGACAACUCAAGUGUUAAAAUAUCAUUUUUAUGACAUUCUACAUUCAUUCAAAUGUCAUUCAUACAUGUCUAGUUAGGAGAAUUUGAUUCAUUUGAUCAUGACAUCCUAUUCACUAGGCAUAAUUAGGUUCACAAAAUAAAUCAUACAGGUUAUGUUCCACAGAGAACAGAUUGGUGAAAUCAUAAAGCCUUAUCUCCCUGAGUUGCCGUGGAGCAGGUUGAAAAGAUAGCAGAUCUUGUCUUCCCAUACUGGUGGCGAAGUAGAUCAAAGAAAGUAGAUCUUGUCUUCAUGUACUGGCGUGAAGUAGAUCAGAGAUAACAGAUCUUGCCUUCCCAUACUGGUGGCGAAGCAGAUCGAAGGAAAAAGCAGAUCUUGUCUUCAUGUACUGGCGUGAAGUAGAUCAGAGAUACCAGAUCUUGCCUUCCCAUACUGGUGGCGAAGCAGAUCGAAGAAAGCAGAUCUUGUCUUCCCAUACUUGUCUUCCCAUACUGGUAGCGAAGCAGAUCAAAGAAAGCAGAUCUUGUCUUCAUGUACUAGCGUGAAGUAGAUCAGAGAUACUAGAUCUUGCCUUCCCAUACUGGUGGCAAAGCAGAUCAAAGAAAGUAGAUCUUGUCUUCAUGUACUGGAGUGAAGUAGAUCAGAGAUACCAGAUCUUACCUUCCCAUACUGGUGGCGAAGCAGAUCAAAGAAAGUAGAUCUUUUCUUCAUGUACUGGCGUGAAGUAGAUCAGAGAUAACAGAUCUUGCCUUCCUAUACUGGUGGCGAAGCAGAUCGAAGGAAAAAGCAGAUCUUGUCUUCAUGUACUGGCGUGAAGUAGAUCAGAGAUACCAGAUCUUGUCUUCCCAUACUGGUGGCGAAGCAGAUCAAAGAAAGCAGAUCUUGUCUUCAUGUACUAGCGUGAAGUAGAUCAGAGAUAACAAAUCUUGCCUUCCCAUACUGGUGGCGAAGCAGAUUGAAGGAAAAAGCAGAUCUUGUCUUCAUGUACUGGCGUGAAGUAGAUCAGAGAUACCAGAUCUUGCCUUCCCAUACUGGUGGUGAAGCAGAUCAAAGAAAGCAGAUCUUGUCUUCAUGUACUAGCGUGAAGUAGAUCAGAGAUACUAGAUCUUGCCUUCCCAUACUGGUGGNNNNNNNNNNNNNNNNNNNNNNNNNNNNNNNNNNNNNNNNNNNNNNNNNNNNNNNNNNNNNNNNNNNNNNNNNNNNNNNNNNNNNNNNNNNNNNNNNNNNNNNNNNNNNNNNNNNNNNNNNNNNNNNNNNNNNNNNNNNNNNNNNNNNNNNNNNNNNNNNNNNNNNNNNNNNNNNNNNNNNNNNNNNNNNNNNNNNNNNNNNNNNNNNNNNNNNNNNNNNNNNNNNNNNNNNNNNNNNNNNNNNNNNNNNNNNNNNNNNNNNNNNNNNNNNNNNNNNNNNNNNNNNNNNNNNNNNNNNNNNNNNNNNNNNNNNNNNNNNNNNNNNNNNNNNNNNNNNNNNNNNNNNNNNNNNNNNNNNNNNNNNNNNNNNNNNNNNNNNNNNNNNNNNNNNNNNNNNNNNNNNAGAUCAAAGAUAACAGAUCUUGUCUUCCCAUACUGGUGGUGAAACAGAUCGAAGAAAGCAGAUCUUGUCUUCGUGUACUGGCGUGAAGUAGAUCAAAGAUACCAGAUCUUGUCUUCAUGUAUUGGCGUGAAGUAGAUCGAAGAAAACAGAUCUUGUCUUCAUGUAUUGGCGUGAAGUAGAUCAAAGAUACCCGAUCUUGUCUUCCCAUACUGGUGGCGAAGUAGAUCGAAGAAAGCGGAUCUUGUCUUCCCAUACUGGUGACGAAGCAGAUCGAAGAUGGCGGAUUUUACCUCCCUGAGAUUACAGUGGAGUACAUUGAAGCCAGUUAUUCCUAUCUCAUUGAAGUUGCAAUGGAGUGGAUUAAAGUACCAGUUCCUAUACCUCUGAAGAUGCAGUAGGAAGGAACAAGGCUACUGGAAAGAGAAGCAUGAAAUAAGUUGAGAUUCAGUAGGACCAGGAACAAUUGGGCCUUGUAGUCUUUGCUCUAUUCCCGUUACACGACAAUGAACAAAGAGGGGCAGUUGUAAUAGGCCCAAUCGAUCCAGGUCCAAACAAAAUUAAAAUCAGUCCAAGAUUUACAAGCUCAUCUAAAGCAAACACGACCCAAAAGAAAAAAGAAAAGCUAAACCCUAGAACCUUCAGCAAAUGGCAGCAAGGAGCGCCGCAGCAAGCUGUCAGUGUCGUGCCCAACGCCCAGUCGCCGCACAACUCGGAGGUCGGCCUCCCCACGCGCGUUUACACUCCAUGAACGCCUGAAAAAAUGGACUCAAUGAGUCCAAAGAAAAACAAACAGGAAGCAAUAUUUUUUUUUCCUUCUUUUUCGAUUAUUUUCUUUCUCUUUUUCGGCCUAUAAAAGGCCAUUUUGUAAUCUGUAAAAUGGGGGGGAUUUUCGGUGUAAAGGAAUACACAUAGAAACACUGAAAAAUACAGAGAAAAAGAAAGAAAGAUACAAACUUUUCUUGAAUAUAAAGGUGGCUUUUUUUUUCCGGCGUUCAUUAUUUUUUUCAUGUUUACUGUUGAUUUAUAAAGAGAAGAGAGUGAAGAGGAGUUUACCUCUGUGUUCGGGCCACCGUUUGCUACCAUCUCCGCCGCAAUCGGGGAUCCGGUUCAAAAGGCCGACGAGCGACGACGCAGAAGGAAAAAUUUAGAAAAAACCCUAGCAAAGGAUUCUCAAUUUUUUUUCCCUUUCAGCUGUAAAUAAGUUUUUAACAAAAAAAUUUGUUUUAAAUAACAAAAGUGAAACGGCGCCAUUUUGCAAGGGGCUAGAUCCGCGCGCCGACCUGACCUGCAAGCAGGGUCCGCGCGUUCUGGCCCUGAAUGGGGAAUUUACGCAACUGGUCCCUCUGUUUUUGAGUCACCUUCAAUGCAAUUUUUUUAUUUUCAAUUUUGACCGCACGUUUGUUUCUUGUUUCAAUUUGGUCCAACAUGAAAACGCUGCGUAUAAGGGGCUGGUACAUUUCUUGUUUGCUCCUUGAUGUUUCCAGCGCACUACAAAUUAGUCUUCAGCUUUUAUUAUUUUAAAUGUUUACCUGAAAGUUUCCUGUAGUUUCAAUUUGGGUCCCUUGUUAUUAAUUAUUUUAUUAUUAAAAUUAUUUAUUUUUAUUAUAUUAUUUAUUAUUAUUGAUUAUUAUCAUAUUUUCUAUACAUAUAUAUAUAUACGCAUAGUUUUUUUUAUAUAUAAUAUAUAUAUGAGCAUUUUUUUUAUAUAUAGGUAUAUAUAUAUUUUUAAGCUUUUAUAAAUACAUGCAUAUAUUUUAUACAUAUGUUUUAUUUUUGUUUUUUACUUUUUUAUAUAUACUUUUUUUUGUAAAUAUAUACACAUGUACAUAUUUUUAUAUUUUUAUCUUAUUUUCAUAAAUUUCGCAUACAUAUAUAUACAUGCAUAUUUUCUUAGGAAUUAUAAUAGGUUUUUGUUUUGUUUUAUGUAUUUCAUUUAUUUUUUUAAUUUUAUAUACGUAUACUUAUAUAUACCUGUUUUAAUAUAUGCUUAUACACGUUUUCAAAAUUUAUUUAUGUCUCAUACUUAUAUUUUGAAAAUACAUAUAUACAUAUAUUUUAAAUUAAAGUAUCUGUAUCAUAUUGUAUAUUAACUUUUUAACAUACCCUUUUGAAAAUAUAUUUUGGUUUUAACCAUUCAUCAAAGUUAUUUUCUUGAUUUAAAGGUUUUUUUUGAAUAAAAGCAUUAUUGGAAGUUUGGGAUUUUCGAGGGUAAUUGAGCCCUAACGUAUUGGGUUCUGAUUUUCUUUGUCAAUCUUAAAUGACCGAGAAUAUUCUUUAUUCAAAAUGCAUGAGCAUAAAAAUCAUUUUUGGGAACUUAACUUGUCGUGCCCUAACGUAUUGGGUGUGGCCUGUUACUUUCUCGAAAUGAAGAUUUUCGCAUAAAAUAAGAGUGAUAUUCAAAGUUCGGGGAUUAUGAGAAAUUGUACCCUAACGUAUUGGGACUCGAUUUCUUUACAUGACUUGAACAAUUGGUUAUCCUUUUGCAAAUUUCAUCAUUCAAGCUUAUUUUAAAAUCUUUUUUUCAAAUUUUCGACACCAAGGCAUUAAAUAAUUAAUUUGGUACCGAUUUUGGGCGUCACGAGGGUGCUAAUCCUUCCUUGUGCGUAACUGACUCCCGAACUCAUUUUCUCAAAUUUCGUAGACCAAAAUUAUUUUUAAGGUGAGCCGAUCACACCUUAAUCAAGGAUCGGUGGCGACUCCCAUUUUCGUUUUUAAAGUCAAAAACUAAAAUUUUUGUUUUCAAAAAACGGUUUCGACACCUUCCACUUCUUUCCUGUCAAGUUUGGUGAAAUGUAAAUUACCUACAAAAUAUAAGUAUAAAUAACUAAUUGUAUAGGUUUACAAAAUAAGAAAUUCAGUUCAACAAAAUAAUUAAUAUUUUAUAAUCUACCAAGUAAUUUUGAGGCAGUGCCAACCCUUUUGACAUCCUAAAUUUUACUCUUCCUCCGAUGAUCGCAAGCUCACGUUCUGUCUGCGUUAUAGCGUUUUCGUGAGAACUGUUUGGUAUACGUGGGGGGACGAAAUAAAAUUAAGUGGAUUGAGCAUUGAGUCAUGAUAAUAACUUCAGUCCGAUACUACUCCUAAUAUUUUCCUAUUUCGUUUAUCCUUCUACUUCUUUCCUGUCAAAUUUGGUGAAAUGUAAUUUUCCAACACAAUAUAAGUAUAAACGACUAACUGUAUCUGUUGCUACUUUAAAUUGUUUACUUGCUAAAAUACAAAAUUGAAAGGGAAGUGUUAGAUUGUAGUGGUCACUACGGCUUGGCACUUCCAAAUGCCAAUUCUGUGCAAACAAAAUUAUAAAGAACAUCAAGGUUUCUUUACAUAGUUCGGUUUCUUUAUGUCCAUAGAGUCUAACUCAGUGAGUAAUUUUACUAUCUUUAACUACACUCUAUCACUUCUCAAGAAUAGAAAUCUCACCUUUGUACCUGAAGAUUAGAACACUCAAUAAGCUCUCAUACAAAACCUAAAUAAGCCUGUAUAUUCAAUUUCGGCUUGCUAACAUGGAAUCUAAGUGAACACAAUUUUACACAUUAAAACCAGCUAUUACAAUUACAACUUUCAAAGCAGAAUCAAACGAAGAUAUGAUUUCCAGAAUAGCAAUGCAGUCUUGAUCGAAUCUCGACACUUUCCAUGGGUUGAAUUGAUUCAUUCAUAUCCAAUCAAAUCCUCAAAAGCCAAAGACUAUUUUGCAUAGAUGGACCAUAGUAUCUUCAAUAACACAUCACAUUAAACAGGUCCAAACAUUUUUUUGCCACCACCUUGACGAAUUAGUCUACAGUGACAUUAUCGAGUACCAGUUAGCAACUAUCAACUCAUCUUGCCUCAGUAGUAUCAGUUUACAAAAAUAAGAAAUUUUGGUCUACAAAGUAAAUAAUAUUUUAUAAGUUUUAGUAUUUUAUUUUCCAAGUAAAGUCCCACGACCUGGAAUUUUUUUGCACUAAAUAUUAAAUUUUUUUACACAUGCAAUGUGGUUGAGAAAAAUGUUGUAUAAAAUUGAUAUCUCGAGAAAUAAUUAUAUUCAAAAUAAAAGAUUUAAUAUUUUUUUUCUAAGGAGAUAAAUUAUGGUAUUUAAUUUAAUUUUGUUUUUUUUAAAUAUUGGUAAUUUAGUUAAGGAUACGAAGUUUGAAGUGGGUAGUUAUAGAGUAAUCGGUGCUAGAACAAAUUUUUGCCACCAUCUUGACGUUUUUAAUUAUCUAUGUAUAUAUUGAAAGUUGAUUAGUUAAUAAAAAUUGUGUCUAAAUUGGAUUGGACCGACUUAACUAAAGGCCCAACACAAUGAAAAACUAUAUUUCAUUUAAAUGGAUUUAAGAUCUAUUCAAUUUGGGUUUUAUACGAUGUACUGUCAGUCUAGUUAGUUACAUCUAUAUUCUUAUCUUUUGGGAGUAAUUUGUUCUAUAUUAAAGAUAAGAUAUGUCACCAAUUAGGCUAGAUAGAGAACAUAUUAGUAUUUUAAUCGAUUUUCUCAAUUCCGAUUAGACUAAGGACGUGUUUAGAUUAUCUACUAAUAUAAAUUGUCUUUUUAUAUUAUGAGUCGACCACAUAAUAUCGCUUACUAUUAAUUAAGCGUUGGAUAAUUAGUGAGUUAAUAUUUGUUUUCAUUUUGUUUUGCAUGCAAAAACCAUUAAGAAUAAUAUAUGAAGAUGUUAAUGAAACUGAUGAAUAUUUUAGUAAAUCAAUUUGUUCGAAAAUUACAACUACAUGUAGACGACAAUACUACACCAAGGCACUAGAUCCCAAUGCACCCAAGAGACAAUUUUCUAACCACUAAAUUCUCCUAUUGAGAACAUAGCAUGUAAAGCCACAAUACAAAAUUUGUACAAUCAUAUGCACUCUUACAAAUAAUGUUUCUCACUUGAAUGUAUUAAAUGUUAUAAAAAAUCAACACAUCAACAUUAAUCUAUACAAGUCUCUCAAUUAAAUAAGGAUUUCGAGACAUGCUAUCAUCAUAAAAAUCUGUCAGAAACCUAUUAAACAAUAGCUAUAUAAGCUAAAAUACCAUAUAAUAAUAACAACCAAGAUAAAUAAGGACUGUUGACAACUAAGUCUUCAACAUUCUAAUCUGAUCCAACCUCCUUGGUCUAACGUAUUAGAUAGACUUGCACUUCCUCAAGCAUAUUUUUAUAAUAUUUCAAGUAAUAUGAUAUUCUUUCAACAUUAAUGAGGCUUUAAGUUCAAAUACCUCUAUUUGUGGAUUUGGUCCAGAAAAGGAAAAUAAUUUGCUACAUCAAACAAUAGUAUUCUAUGCAUAAGAACUAAGCAACAAGAAUAGAAGAUUAAUACAAUCAAUCGAUAUUCUCCCGAUAUAUGAAGAUUAAUUCUAGAGUUCGCCAACCUUCAUUAACUUUUCUGUUAAUUGUAUGUACUACAAUUCCCUUUAGACCAAAUAACUUCAUUCUAGUAGUGUCCUUGAUCAUGUGGAGCAGUAGCUACUCCUAAUAUUUAACUAAUUCUUUGGUCCUUUCACUUCUUUCCUGUCAAAUAUGGUGAAAUGUAAUUACUUAGACAAUAUAAGUAUAAACUAAUUGUAUCGGUAAAUUUAGUUAUAAGUUUUAGUAUUUUAUUUACCAAGUAAACUCCUGUAAUUUUUUUUUUCAACAAAUACUAAAAUUUGUGACACCCACUAUGUGGAUGACAAAAAAUUUUAUGUAAUUAAUUCCUCAAGAAAUAUUUAUUUUAAAAUCAGAUGUCAUGUGAUUAAUAUAAUUUUGAAAUAUUAAAGAGUAGCUUCAACAUCUUUAAUUAUUUUAAAAAUAUAUAAUUAUCAUGGAUGGCCCUUCUAACAACUUUGGCCAGCCAUCAUGCUCCGAAAUGGCCCUUGGAGACAACCAUAGUUGUUAAGGUACAUGAGGAGCAAGGGCCAUUUAGCCUCUUCUCGGCAUUGCUUGACAACUUACACAAAUUUGGGUCAUCUGGCAACUUGGAGGCUGACAAUUUCUGAUGGUCUUCUAACAACUUUGGUCAACAAUUACGCUCGCAGAUGGCCGUUUGAACAACUUUGGCUGGCCAUAACGUUUAAGGUUAAAUUUGACAUUAUGUUUUGAUUUAUUGAUCAAGCUUAAGAAUUGCGAAAUCUGAAUUUAUUGAUUCAAACAAAAUAUUGUAUCACUAAAAAUAAUAAAGCUUAUCCCUUUGACUUAGUUAAAACUUUUGUGUAGAGAUUUUUCAUUAAAGAUAUUGGUGAUUUGAAUCAUUUCUUGAGUAUUGACGUAUAAAGAUUUAUUCAUCUCAACACAAGAAUAUAUCUGUUAUGAUAUAUUGAGCAAAGUAAACUUUCUCAUUUUUUUGGUAAACCAACCUCUAUCAGAGAUGAAAUAAAUACUGAAUAGAUAUAUUUAUGUCUCUUUUGUAGCAAACAAUUUAAUCUUUAUUUGUAAUAAAAUAAUAAAGUACAAUGAUGAAGUAUGAGAUUCUCAUACAUUUAUUGUAAUCAAGUGUAGCAGAAUCAUAUGACUUUUUCACAGUCCCAGAGAAUUGAGUCAGUAGAUAACAUCUUAGUGAUGAAUUACAGUAACGUUAAAUUCAAUAAUGACAUUGGUGGCAUUUAUAAGGAUAGGGUUAAAUAGUGCAAUCCCCUUUGCCAUCAUGAAUCGUCCUCUUCCUCCAACCACCGCAAGCCCAGGUUCUCCCCUUGAAAAUACGCUUAGAGAGCUGCCAUUAAACUUACCGGUAUUAAAUCCAAAUUCUAUGUACUGCGUACUCGAUGCAUUUGAUCCAGCCAGGAGCGAAAUACCCUGAACAUUUCCAAUUACCUCUGAGUCAGGCUCAGGACCAGUCCUGAGGGGAUCAUUAACGGCAACUAGGGUGGCAAAUGGCACAGAUGAAUUAUUGCUUGUGAUGUUAGCUUGGGCUACCACGACUGCAGUAACACCCGUAUGUUCGUGCAUAAAGAAGUGAAGAUUGGUGACCUUAGGUGGCCUGGGAUGAUAUGGUCGGCUCUUCGAGUAGUAUUGGCUCUGCACUGCUACUUGGGAGAGGCAGAUGAUCAGAAUCCAACUCAACAUCAAUGUUCCUCUCAUUGUCUCUGCUUUACUAUAAUUUCUGGGGCGAAAUGUAGAUGAAAGCUAUAGAAUUGUUUCUUUAUUUUUAUUAAGAAAACAGAAAUAUUUAUAGCGAUAAAACCCGCAGACAUGAAAAUAAUUUAUUGUCCCAAAUAUUUUAUAUAAUAUUUCGCCGUAGUAAUAUUAAAAGGAACACAAACCUUGAUCACGCAAAAGAAACAUGGUCUCAUUGUCUAUGAUCCACUUGUAAAUUAAUUUUAUAUUGGAAGUUUCCUCUCCUACGUUUUUAAUUUCGUGUGAAUGGUGCAUUGUCCAUUGACUUUAUUUUAUUUGAUAUUAUAUAUUACUUGUGAUUGAUUUUAUAAAUUAUUUUAUCUUCUGCAAAUAAAAGAUGUUUGAUUUUAUAAAUCAUUUAUUUGAUACGUUUUUUCGGGUAUUCUAAGAUUAAAUAUGACAAAAAAAAGAAGAUAGGAGUGAGUUAUCAUAGAAUAUUUAAGAAAAUUUUUCUUAUAUAUACAUCUUAGAAUGCCCGAAAAACCUAAAAAAAUGCAAUUUCCUGUAAUUUAGUGUACAAAUUCAUAAAAUCGACACGAACUACCACAUGGCCGUGUGGAAUGGGUCAGCCCGUGUGGCUCAUGUAGCUUACUCUGAUUUUCCAUUCUUCACACGUUUUGCUCCCAAAUGCUCUAUUAAGCAUUAAAAUAUGAAUUUAAAGGAUUAGGAUAAUAAAAUUCACCAUUAACAUCGAAAAAUCACCUAAAAACGAAUUAAGAGCGAGGUUAAAAUAUGGUUUCUUUUAGCACUCAUCAAAUAUCUCCAUACUUAAGCGUUUGCUUGUCCUCCACAAUCAAGUGCACUUCCCUUAAUUUAUUGUUUUCACCGAUAAUGUCUCAGGAUAAUCCACAGAUAAUCAAGCAUUAGAAAUUCGAACUAAAAUGACACUAAAGAAUACAAGUAAUCCAAGCAAAAAUUUUCAAUACAUAAAAACAAAGGCAUCUCUCCUAUCUCAAUAAUUACAUGAAAUUUAAACUCAACAAGAAUUGACAUCCUCACUAAGGAUCACUCAAAGCACUCAGAGUCUUUAAUGUUCAAGGACUAUGCACUCAAUAGUCGAAUGAGAAAUGUUAUUACCAUAGGCUUGCUUGAAAAUUAGAUCUCUACCACUAAAGAAAUGAGAUGACACACCUAUUACCUCACAUAAAUACUAAGAAACCUUUAGUUUCAUAUGAUCAGUAAAAUGCAUGUUUCACUAAGUAGAAGAUCUGAAAGGACUUAAUUUGGUUUCUAAACUCAUGAAAGAUCAAGUUGCCAUGGAAUGCUUUCCGAACACUGUUAAGCAUGAUGAAAAUAAAUUAAGUUGAUUAAUGUAAUUAUCUUAACCUAUACAUGUUAUUGAUUGUUGAAGUUGUGUUUCUGUUGCUAAAAUCCAUUCAUACAUUUAGAUUAUUUUGCAUACUUAGUUUAAAAAUGCAUUAGGGACCAAAUUUUGCAUCCAGUUAAAUUAAUUUAGUUAAAUCAUCAUCACUAAAAUUAUUGUGUUUGAUAAUACUCUGGAUUGACAUAUUUUUAUGUAUUAAUUACAUAAUUAUUUUGAGUAUGAUCCUGCUAAUUUGAGCUAUUUAUGGUUUUUUUAUAUGCUAGGGAUUAAAUUGAAGGCAAAAGGAAAUUUAGGAGCAAAAGCAUGAAUUUGAAACAAAAUGGGCCAGCAUGCGAAAUAGGAAAGAAGUUGUGCCAAAAAUGCAAAGUGUGGAAGACUUGAGAGCAACAGUUCAAAGAAAAGAUUUUAUAAACACAAUACUCUAUUUAAAUUUUAAUUAUAUUAGGAUUAUUGUUAAAAUUAUUAUUUAAAUUUCAUUUUAGCUUUUAUCUUUAUUUAUCUUUUAGAAUUUAGAUAGGAAUAAACUAGGUUUUCUGAGUACUAUAAAUAGAGGAUGGAGUGACAUAAAUUGCACUCAUCUUUUCUGUAAAAGCUCCCUCUCCCAAAAAGCUCUAGCUUUUGUUCCUUUUAUUUAUUCAAUAAAAUUCCAUUUUUAUUAAGUUUAUUUCUUUUUCCCCAAAAAGCAUGAGCCACUAAAUUCAUCUAGCCAAAGGUUGUCGAAGAUUACCCAAAAAGGGUUCAUGAGGCUUAGAAUCCACACUUAACCUUCUCAACAAAUAUUCGUCAUUUCUCUGUAUUACAAGAUUGACGCUUCUAUCCAUGUCCCUUCAAAUGUGAUCUUUUCAUCUUGUGCAAAGGCGGCCGCUUUAUAUGUUUUGGGAAGGUUGCACAGUCGGUUCGUUAGCCUACUGCGUCAGUGUUUGUCAAGUCCAAGAGACAAAAUAGCGUGGCAUUCGCCAUUGAGAAGUGAUGAUCUAGUGUAAAACGGUUCCAUAAAAGUGACGAUUGGUUAGAGUCAGGUUCCUCUAUAUCGUGAGUCUAAAAUCUAAGUGGAGCUGGUGGUCAUAGGCGUCCUCUUCCACUAUAACUGGCUUAUUCUGUUAUGAUAAGGAUCAUCUAAAAGCCUAGGAUUGAACCUGAGGAGGAUCGAGAUAACCGGAGGCUGGAAUCUCUUUAUCAAAAACUCUAUUUUCUUAAUUCUGUUUAUUUUUACAGUUUCAAUUUCAAUUUAUGCAAUCUCAACUCAACCAAACUUUUAAUUUUGUUUUUUUAUUCUUUUCCAGGCACGCUAUUUUUAUUGGGCAAGACUUUGCUCGGGAUAUCGAGGAAGAGGAACCUGUGCAAGUCCAAUCCCUGAAGAUUUGACCCUACUUCCCUUAUACUAUUCUUUUCAUUAUUUUAUAGGGAUAUGAUACUUUUGGUGCUCUCAACGAUGCACCAAAUUUUGACACUGUUGCUGGGGACUAGUAACGUACUAAUCUUGCUCCUUUUGUUUCUUAUUACCAGAUCUGUUCCAAGUAUUCUUACAUUUGAUUCAGAGAUAGAGAAGAUUGCGUGAGCUAAUCGCAAAGAAACAAAACUACAUAAAAAGCAGUUAGGGGUGGUAAGGACUCAGACUAACCCACCGCUGGAGAUAGAAGCAGAUGACAAUGUGUCUAGGGUUAACGAAAACCCUACUCAAACACUAGAAAAUGAAAGAGUAGGAGUCGAUCCACCAGAAGAAGUGCUUAAUGUGAGGGUUAACGAAAUGCAAAACAAAAAUCCCCACAAACAUUUAAAAGAGUUUUAUAUGGUUUGUCUUAGCAUAAAACCUUAGGGCAUAACUAAGGAUCAAAUCAAAUUGGGUGCUUUCCCUUUUUCCCUAGCAGAUUCUACUAGGGAAUGGUUAUUUUAUCUACCCUCUAGAUCUAUUACAACUUAAACUGAUCUUUCUCGUUUGUUUCUCAAUAAUCUUUUCUAGCAUCGUAUGCAAUUGAGUUAAUAAGGGAGAUCGUUGGGAUAAGAAUAAAAGAAGUAAAGUCUCUUUAUGACUAUUGGGAGCGAUUUAAGAAGUUGUGUACAAGUUGCCCACAACAUGGUAUAACGAAACAGUCUUUACUCCAAUACUUUUAUGAAGGAUGGAAACCUAUAGAAAUGAACACGGAAGAUGCCGCCAGUGGAGGGGUAUUGGUCAACAUGACUCCCCAACAAGUAAGGGACUUGAUAUCCACGAUGGCUAUGAAUAAUCAACAAUUUUGAGCCAAUCCUAAACCCACUAGAGGGGUUCACUAGCUAAGUAAUUCAACCUUAGAAGAUAAAGUUGAUAGACUUACUAAUAUUAUGAAUUCUUUUAUUGCAGAAAAAGCAAAACUAACUUGACUAUGCGGAAUUUGUUCCAUACCUAAACAUACAAUUGAUUUAUGUCCUAGUUUGUAUGAUGAUACUAUGGCCUAUUUGAAUGCUGUGGAGAACUUUCCUGGGCCACCACAAAGUCGAUAUGAUCCUUACGCUAAUACCUAUAACCCAGGAUGGAAAAACCAUCCUAACUUGAGUUAUAGGGUCAACCUACGAUAUAACUAGCCAUACCAAAAUUAGUUUCAACAAUAGCCGCGAGAUUGAUGUACUUCUCUAGAAACCAUGGUCAAUAAAUUAGCAGCUAAUAUGCUUGAUUUUUAAUAGAAAACUGAGGUGUCUAUAAGAGAGUUGACCAUAUCAAUUGAGAAAAUGAACUCUUAAGGGAAGCUACCAUCACAAAAAGAGCCAAACCCAAGACAAAAUGCAAAUGUAGUGACAUUGCAAAGUGGAAGAGAACUAGAACCAAUUCCUGGUAGAAAUCUUGGCAAAGAUUUUGCCCAAGAGAAGCACGAGAACGACGAACUAGUUCGAAUGAAACCUCCAUUGCCUAAAAUUCAACCUCCAUUUCUAAGAUGAUUGAACCAAAAUCGGAAAGGUAAAGAGGAUAAGGAGAUCCUCGAAACAUUCAGAAAUGUUGAGAUCAACAUACCACUAUUGGAUGCCAUCAAACAAAUUCUGCGAUAUGCCAAGUUUCAUAAGGAGCUCUACACCAACAAGUGAAAAUUAACUGGUAAUGAAAGGGUAAGCGUUGGUGAAAAUGUAUCCACAGUGUUAUAGUGGAAGAUGCCAACAAAAUGCAAAGAUAGGGGAAUGUUUACAAUACCAUGCAAAAGAGGCCACUUAGGAAUUAAAAAAGCUAUGUGUGAUUUAGGGGUCUCCAUAACUGUAAUGCAUUUUCUAUUUAUGAAUCACUUACCAUGGGUUUUUUAAUGAAAAUAGGUGCUAUCAUUAAGUUAGCAGACACGUCUAUUGUGCAUUCUGAAAGAGGAUCGAGAUAACUGGAGGCUGGAAUCUCUCCAUCAAAAACUCUCUUUUCUCAACUCUGUUUAUUUUUACAAUUUCAAUUUCAAUUUACGCAAUCUCAACUCAACCAAACUUUUAAGUCUAUUUUUUUAUUUUUUAUCCAGGUACGCCAUUUUUCUUGGGCAUGACCCUGUCCGGGAUCUCGAGGAACAAGAACUUGUACAAGUCCAGUCUUUGAGGAUUUGACCUUACUUCCCUUAUACUAUUCUUUUCAUUAUUUUAUAGGGAUAUGGUAUUUUUGGUGUUCUCAAUGACGCACCAAUGUUUUUAUACCAAAUUGUGAAUUUAUAAAUUUGCAAAUAAUCAAUUAACACACACAGCCCCUAUGGAGAUGAUAACUCAUUUUACUUACUUAUUACUUGAACAACUGUGUACACUUGCACAAUAAUCCCGUUACAAAUGUUUUUCAUAUUCAAAAGGAGUAAGCUUUAUGCAUGUCAUGGAUGAGAAAAGUAUGGCACUGGGUGUAGAGAAAAGGAUAAAAUUUUUAAGAGGAUGUAGAGAUUAUAAGGUUUUCUAAAUCUUCUCAAAUAUAUAAAAAUUAUUUGACAAGAAAAUCCUUGUCCCAUAAUAAAUAUAUACCUUAAUCCUGAGUGGAUGAUGGACUAUGUAUGUGUGUAUCAUAUACUUUGAGGUAAGUAAAAGUCUGAGUUCAAAUAGAUAAGGAACCAAAAGUUGGUGCAUUGGAUAUACGACUUCUGUAGUAUAUAAGUUCGUUCACAAUAGUGGAAUUCAUUGCGCAACUAAUGGGUAAAUGAUACAAAUUCAUCUACAUUACAUGCUAGAUGAAAAUUAAACAUGAUCAUAGAUCGUUUGUCUUUGUGGUAAAUGGCUUGAUUACUAUUUGUCCUAGACAAAUGAUUCGUGGCCUUGUUACUUUUUCAUCUAUCAUUUAAUGCUAAUGAGAGAAUAUCAUUUACCCUUUAAUGGGUUAUGAAUUCCACUAUCUGAAUGAAGCUAUGUCGUGCAAAAGUAGUAUGCCUAACAUAUUAGCUUUCGGAUUUUUAGUUGUUUUGAACUCAAUCUUUCACUACAUCUAAGUGUACGAGUUAUGCACACAUAGUUAGUCACUUAGUCAAGUUUGAGGUAAGUCACUAUGAACAUCACAAAUAAAUUAAUCCACAAACAAAUCUAAGAUUAAUUUGAAUUGAGUCUUUCUUUAUGUAUUAUCAAUCCAGACAAUAACAUCUACGUCUCUAUCUUCUGGGAGUCAUCUGUUUCGAUACUAAAGACAAGAUAUCUAUCUAAUAGAACUUGAUAGACUGCAUAAUAAUCCUUUAACUGAUUUGCUCAAUUUCGAUUUAAUGGACCUUUUAAAUUAUCUACUAAUAUAAGUUAUCUUCUCGAAUUGAUCCGACCAUAUAAUACAACUUAAUAUCGGUUAAACGUUAGGUAAUCAAUGACUAAUAUUUGUUGACAUUUUACUUCUUUUGCGCUUGUUUUUAUAUUCAAAAUUUACCACUUUCUUUUGCAAAUUCAUUUUAUUCUAUUUUAAUUAGUUUAUAGUUAACUACACUUAGACUCCCUUUGGAUAGGUGAUGAGAUUAAUCCGAUGAGAUUGAAAAUAGUGGUAGCGACAAUAUUAUCUACUAUUGAUGUACUAAAACAACUCUUCAUGACCUAAAAUAAAUUAAAAUUAAUAAAUUUUAUUUAUUAACAACAGAAUACCGCCAAACUCAAGAGGACGCCUCUAUAAAUGAAACUAUUCGUGGCAUUCAACGAGAGAAACGCCACUAAUAUAUACAAAUUAAAAUUUAAAAAAUUAAUUAUAUUUCUUAAUUGUAUAAUUUACGGUAUCUGAGACUUGGUCGCCACCAUGUGCACUAAUGUGUUAUCCGCUGAAAUGUUGAAAUUCGCUGGCUGACGUGAGUGAAUUAGCCGCGUUUUCUGGGUAACCUCCACUUAUCAUGCGCAUAAGCCACUACAGGAGUACCUAUGUGGCACUUUUCUCUGUAAACGCCGCAAGGUAUUGCCGCGGUGAGUGGUGAGAUGCAACAUGAUAUGAUCGUGGUUUUCUUCAAGUCAACUGGAUGAGGUCGCAUAUAAGCAAUCUUGCUCCUUCCUGUCUUCCGCUGUGAGUGAGCUUUGUUCAACAAAGUGAUCUGAGAGGAUAGGUGGGUUUUACUUGUUGUAAGGGUGGAGUGGCAACGUCUAGCAACUAUAAAUUUUGCAACCAUAUAAGCCAAACUGUAAAAGACAGCACAUAAUUCAUCAAAUAAAUAAUCUUAUUCAUAAUACAUAAAAAUAAAAUAAUUAAUUCAAAAUCAUGCACAAUUUUCUUUAAAAUAAUAUAAAUGUCAAAUGCUAAAUAAUAUGAUCAGAACAAGAAAGAGAUAAUACACUAAAAUAAUACAGUUGAAUGUUUGAGUUUAUAAGUUAAGAGUAUUUUUAUUAAUAUUAUAUUCCAAUUCGAGUUAAGAUUUUUUAUCAAACUAAAAGUGAAAAUUUAUAUCAAAGAAAGAAAUUGUAGUAAGUUGAGUGUCAAAUCCGUUUUUUAUUGAAAAUGGUGGCAAAAACAUUAAUUUUUUAAUGAUGUUGACGCGACAACUUAAUUACAUAUACUUUAUACAAACAUUACAAUUCGUUUUUUUUAUGUUACCUCACCAAAUGAUUUAAAAUUUAUAAAAUAUUCAAAUUAUAAAAAAGAGUUCAUAAAAAUUCAUAAAAUUAGCAUGGACUACAUGUAGAUUGCUAAGUGGGCUGUUAUGUUUAAAAGUUUAAUGUUUUAAUAAGUAUUUCUAUUUAAAAAAAAUAACAAUUCGAUUCUUUUUUAAAUGUUGGUGGUCAAAUUUGACCUCUUUAAAAUGGUUGAGACUAAAACCAAUAUGAGUAAAAAAUAUAAACAUUAAGGGUUAAAUUUGAUAUUAUGCAUGGACUUAUCGAUAAUUAGAGGCUUUUAAGUAUAGUUAAAUCCGAAUUUAUUGAUUCAAACAAAAUUUUGUAUCAAUAAAAAUAAUAAAAGUUUUCUUUUUUACUUUGGUCAAACUUUGGUGGAGAGAUUUUCGAGUAAAGGUGUUGGUGAUUUGAAUCAUUUCCUGGGAAUUGAAGUCAUUCUCAAGAUUUAUUCAUCUCAACUCAAGAAUAUAUCUGUUAUGAUAUAUUGAGCAAAGUAAACUUGCUGCUUCGUUGUAAUAUUUGACUUUGACACCAUUUCAUAAUUGUUUGGUUGAUAUAUUGAGCAAAGUAAACUUUUCUCAGCUUUUGCGUAAACCAACCUCUAGCAGAGAUGAAGAUAAAUACUGAAUAAAUAUAUUUGUAAUAAAAUAAUAAAGUACAAUGAUGAAGUAUGAGAAUGUCAAUCUCAUACACUUAUUCUAUCCGAGUGGAGCGGAAUCAUACGACUUUUUCACAAUCCAAGAGAAUUGAGUCUGUAAAUGACACCUUAGUAAUGAACUACAGUAAAGUUAAAUUCCAUAAUGACAUUGGUGGCAUUUAUAAGGAUAGGGUUAAAUAGUGCAGUCCCUUUUGCCAUCAUGAAUCGUCCUCUUCCUCCGACCACCGCAAGCCCUGGUUCUCCCCUUGAAAAUACGCUUAGAGAGCUGCCGUUAAACUUACCGGUAUUAAAUCCAAAUUCUAUGUACUGCGUGCUCGAUGCAUUUGAUCCGGCUAAGAGGGAAAUACCCUGAACAUUUCCAAUCACCUCUGAGUCAGGCUCAGGACCAGUCCUGAGGGGAUCAUUAACAGCAACUAGGGUGGCAAAUGUCACUGAUGAAUUAUUGCUUGUGAUGUUAGCUUGGGUUAGCACGACUGCUGUAACACCCGUAUGUUCGUGCAUAAAGAAGUGAAGAUUGGUGACCUUAGGUGGCUUGGGAUGAUAUGGUCGGGUAUCUGAGUAGUAUUGGCUCCGAACUGCUACUUGGGAGAGGCAGAUGAUCAGAAUCCAACUCAACAUCAAUGCUCCUUUCAUUGUCUCUGUUUUACUAUAAUUUCUGGGGCGAAAUGUAGAUGAAAACUAUAGAAUUGUUGCUUCAAUUUUAUUAGGAAGACAGAAAGAUUUAUAGUGAUAAAACCCGCAGACAUGAACAUAAUUUGUUGUCCCAAACAUUUUAUAUAAUACAUGAUUGAUUUCGCCGUGGCAAUAUUAUAAAGAACACAAAUCCUGAUCACGCAACAGAAACUUGGCCUAAUUAUUUUAGAUUGGAAGUUUCCUCCUCCUGCGUUUCUGUUUUCGUGUGAAUAUUGUCCAUUGACUUUAAUUUAUUUGAUAUUAUAUAUUCCAUGUGAUUGAUGUGUUGAUUUUAUAAAUUAUUUUAUCUUCUGCAAACAAAUGUUUGUUUGAUGUGAAAUCUCUUUUUUUUUUUUUCUUUCUAAAUCUCCUUCAGAAAUUAACGGCGAAUCUAGAAAUCAGAAACAUGGUCUAAUUAGCUGCUGGCUCUAAUCAAUUUUCUUUGUUUUUUACGCAAAGCAGGUUGUGGAAUUCACUACCACCGUUCUGCCAAUUUUUCUCUUUUUUCUUGAGUAAUUAAAACUUUAUUCUGGCUUGGGGACACUAAUCAAUCCGAGAGAGAACUGUGAUGCUUUCAAUUUUGCCUAAAUCUUCCACACUCUUGCAACACUUUAUUGGAAUUUGUUAAAUUUGGAACUGAAUUGUGUGCUAAUACAUGUCUCAUGGAAUUUGACAUUUUCUAUACUCGCUUAGACAAAUUGCUCAUUUGAAAAAACGAAAAAGAAAAAAAAAAGAAGUGAGAACAGAACUGAUAGCUUAAAUUAUGAGUAAGAACUUGUGUAUUGUGACGGUUGUUUGAAUUGUUAUCGCACUUCGCGUCAAAAGCUCUAGUACUGUUUCAAGUCAAUAAAUUACUCUAAUCACGGUGCCAUAAGAGAGAUAUAUUGAAUUGUGUAAUCAUCUUGAGUUGUCAUUUCAUUUUAUGUUAAAAGAUUCGACAACAUCUUAAACAAAAAGAAAUAAAUAAAUGUCUGUGCGAGUCUAAUUGAAUAAGUCCAUGGAAUGAAAACAUUUUCCGGGAUAUUGUUACAUGACUCGAAUGAUUGAACAAAAGGUGUGCUUGAGAACAAGCUUUCUUCAAGUCAGCCGGAGGAGGUCUGUCAUCCGGUGUGAGUGAGCAAUAUUGUUCAACAAAGUGAUCUUAGAGGGUAAGGGUGGAGUCACCAUGUCUAAAAGUUAUAAAUUUUUUAACCAUAUAAGUAAACGUGUAAGAAAAACACAUAAUACAUCAAAUAAAUAAUCUUAAUCGCGAUACAUAAAAUAAAAAAAAAUGAUUUAAGAUCAUACACACACAUUGUUUUAAAUAAUAUAAAUGUCGAUUCCCACACAAUAUCUUCAAAACAGGAAAAAUAUAUUACACUAAAAUAAUAUAGUUGAAUGUUUGAGUGUAUAAAUUAAGAAAAAUUUUAUUAAUGUUUUAUUCCAUAUGAAAGAAAGAAAUUGUAGUAAGCUGAAAAAUUUAACACAUUUGGCCUAUAGUUGGAGACUAGAAAUUCAAAUUUAACUUCUCCUUAUUGUGAUUUAACUUUUGUUAAACUUAACUUAAGCUUCAAUUUAAUCCCAGAAAUUCAACAGAGUCUAGAUUGGAAGUUUCCUCCCCCUGCGUUUUGAUUUUCGUGUGGAUAUUGCCCUUUGACUUUAAUUUAUUUGAUAUUACAUAUAAUAUAUGAUUGAUGUAUUGAUAUUAUAAAUUAUUCUAUUUCUGCUAAGAAAAGUUUGUUUGGUAUGAUCAAGUCUCUUUCCAAUAUAAUCAACUCCGACAUAAGAAAUUCAUUAGAAAUCAGAAACAUGAUCUAAUUAACACCCAAUUGAGAAAUUUAUAUCAAUUUUCUUUGGUUUUUGCGCCAACCAGGUGGUGGCCCAUUUUUUAAAUUAUUAUUUAAUUAAUUAUAAUUAAUUAACUUAAGUAUAAUGCGAGAAAUAAAUUUAAAUAAUUAUCAUGGAUUUAUUAAAUAAGACAAUUAAAUAUAUUUUUCUUACAAAUUUAUUAAAUAACUUUAAUGGAAUUAUAAUUGGGUUGAAAUAUAAUUUAAUUAAGAAAAUAAUUUAAUUAAUUUAUAUAUUUAAGAAAUAUAAAAUAAAUAUUAGGUUAUAUAAAUUAUAAGUGUUGGAUAAAAAACCCAAAUUAGGUCUAGUUAAUGGAAGGGAUGGCAAGCCUUAGUAUUUUCUAGGCCAUGCCACCGCCCCCACCUAUUCUACUUCAAGUAGAAUUUUUAUUUUCUAUUAAAAUAUUAUCAUUCGAUUACCCUUUAUUCAAAUAGAUCUCUUGUACUGUUUCUUUAUAAUUAGGGACUACGAGCUAAACUAUUCAUACAAUUUUGAGAGUAUUGUUAUUUUGUCAAAAAAUAGUGACAAUUUUUUUAGAAUAAAUUCUAUUUUUUGGGAAAAUCUGAUAGUUUCCAGUUUAUAGAGAGAAUUAACAUUCUCAUUGAAAGUUAAGAAAUGUUUUCAUUCUGUGCAUUUGGUUCUAUUUUGAGAGCUCAUACUCAAAGCAAUUCAGGGUUUGAGGAUAGCGAAGAAGGUCAUUCACUAGAAAGUCAGGAUUGACUUAGACUACCUCGUACAAAACAUAGGUAUAAAUUUGGUUAAAGGUUUAUUGUUAUAAAUAUCACCAGGCUUGAUUUUAAGUAAAAUUUUAAACUUCCGUUUUGCCUAAAAACUUAGUUUUCUAAACCCAUUUUUACAACAAUUGUGUGGUGUAUAGUUGGAAGAAUCGAAACAAUCCGUAAUUGUCAUAUUCAGUGUGUUGAAGAACAAACUAAUGUGACCAAUUGAGUAAAUGAUUGGAUUUGUCAAGGGAAUUAAUGAUAGAUUUUAAACGACUCACACAAUUGAGACCUUUGAUUCAAGUCAAUUCUAUCUUGUUCGCAUGGUUAAUGAGGAACUAAAUAGUGGAAGUUGAUUUUAGGUUAUUCGCUUGGUAAGGGUUACUUGUCAAAUCGUUCUCACAUUUAAUUUACAUACAAAAAGGUAAGUCGCGGUUAGAAGUUGCUCCUCAAUCAUUAUAAUUGACUUAUCGGUUGGAGGAGAAAAUCUAUUGUCGUGCAUCAACUAAAACCAAGGCCAAAACUAUUCUUGAAGUUAGAGCGUUGUUUCAUCAGUUUACUCAAUUUUAAUCCCUCUCUUCUAUUUUUCAUAUAGUUCGACACAUGUCGUGGGCAUGAAAGUUGCCUACCACACGUUCUGGUUAAAAUGAACAUCAAUUUAUUCUGUUAUAUUAGCAUUAUGGAAAUCUCUGGGAUACCUGGUCUAUUCCGCUGUUAUACUCGCUAUUAUAUUCUCCGUUGAAUACAGCAGUCGGAAAGUUAAUUUCUCUCUAUGAAAAAUCGAAAAGCUUUGAGAUUUAUAGAAAAUAGGAUUUAUUCUUGUAAAUAUCUCUUUUUUAAAGAAAAUGAUGACAAAAAGAAUUAAUUUUUUAAUGAUGUUGGUAUGGCAAUCCACACGUAAUUUAUAUUGUCAUGAUAUUUUUUGUUUUAUAUGCCAUGUCAACAAAUAAUUUAAAAAUUAUAAAUUAUAAAAAAAUUAAUACAAAAUAUAUGUGGAUUGCCCUGCGCGCUGUGAUGUUUAAAAAUAGUUAGUAUUUCCAUAAACAAAAAAAAAAAAUUGACUCUUCUUGAAAGGUUUGUGGUCAAAUUUGAUUCCUUUUAAAAGGUUGCGGCUCAAAUUUAGCUCAAAAAUGAAAUAAGAGUUAAAUUGAGUAAAACACGUCAACAUUGAGAACUAAAUUUGACAUUACGCCUUGAUUUAUCAAUCUAUUAAAGGCCUAAGUAUUGUGGAAUAUGAACUUAUCGAAUCAGACAAAUUUGGUAUCAAUAAAAACAAUAAAGCUUUUCUCUCUAACUUUGUUCAAACUUUGGCGGAGACAUUCUCUAGUAAAGAUCUUGCUGAUCUGAAUCAUUUCUUGGAAGUUAAAGUCAUUCCAACAUAUCAAGAUUUAUUCAUCUCAACACAAGUAUAUAGAUGUUAUGAUAUAUUGAGCAAAAUCAACAAAUAAUUGUCAAGUGCCAAGGAAUCAAAUACACCAAUGUCUACUUUAGUUUGUUUAAGUUUUCAUGUUGGUCAAGUUUUGCAUAAAGCAGCCUCUAUCAGAGAUGAAGAUAAAUACUGAAUAGAUAUAUUUAUAUGCCUUUUUGUAGCUAAGAAUUUAAUCUUUAUUUGUAAUAUAACAGUAAAGUACAAUGAUCAAGUAUGAGAAUUUUAAGUUUUAAUCAAAUCAACAUAUAUAUAUAUAUCAUACACUUAUUCUAAUCAAGUGGAGCAUAAUCAUACGACUUUUUCACAUUAAUCCAAGAGAAAUGAGUCUGUAAAUAACACCUUAGUAAUGAAUUACAGUAACGUUAAAUUCAGCAAUUGUAUUGGUGGCAUUUACAAGGAUAGGAUUAAAUUGUGCAACCCCUGUUGCCAUCAUGAAUUGUCCUCUUCCUCCGACCACCGCAAGAUCAGGUUCUCCCCUUGAAAAUACGCUUAGAGAGCUACCGUUAAACUUACCAGUAUUAAAUCCAAAAUCUAGGUAUUCCGUGCUCGAUGCAUUCAUUCCAGCCACUGACGCAAUACCCUGAAUAUUUCCAAUCAACUCUGAGUCAGGCUCAGGACCAGUCCUGAGGGGAUCAUUAAU